AUUGAGCGCUGGCGGCAUGCUUUACACAUGCAAGUCGAACGGUAACAGGGUGCUUGCACCGCUGACGAGUGGCGAACGGGUGAGUAAUGCGUCGGAACGUGCCGAGUAGUGGGGGAUAACGAAGCGAAAGUUGUGCUAAUACCGCAUACGUACUGAGGUAGAAAGUGGGGGACCGUCGGGCCGCACGCUAUGCGAGCGGCCGACGUCUGAUUAGCUAGUAGGUGAGGUAAAGGCUCACCUAGGCGACGAUCAGUAGCGGGUCUGAGAGGAUGAUCCGCCACACUGGGACUGAGACACGGCCCAGACUCCUACGGGAGGCAGCAGUGGGGAAUUUUGGACAAUGGGCGAAAGCCUGAUCCAGCCAUGCCGCGUGUCUGAAGAAGGCCUUCGGGUUGUAAAGGACUUUUGUCAGGGAGGAAAUCCCUAGUGCUAAUAACACUGGGGGAUGACAGUACCUGAAGAAUAAGCACCGGCUAACUACGUGCCAGCCGCCGCCGUAA
rnacentral:rRNA from 1 species